rnacentral:piRNA from 1 species
CUUUGGCACAAUGGUGGAGCACA